ACGCUCGACACCUACGGGGGCAGCAGUCGGGAAUAUUGCGCAAUGGAGGAAACUCUGACGCAGUGACGCCGCGUAUGGGAAGAAGGUUUUCGGAUUGUAAACCAUUUUAGACAAGGAAGAAACAAGACAGUACUUGUAGAAUAAGCUCCGGCUAACUACGUGUCAGCAGCCGCGGUAAUCUGAGCGGGCUGGCAAGGC
rnacentral:rRNA from 1 species